AAGGAGUCUAACAUCUAUGCGAGUGUUUGGGUGUCAAACCCGGAACGCGAAAUGAAAGUGAACGGAUGUAGGCAGCUCUUUUGGCGCUGCACUAUCUACCGAUCCUGAUGUCUUCGGAUGGAUUUGAGUAAGAGCAUAGCUGUUGGGACCCGAAAGAUGGUGAACUAUGCCUGAAUAGGGUGAAGCCAGAGGAAACUCUGGUGGAGGCUCGCAGCGGUUCUGACGUGCAAAUCGAUCGUCAAAUUUGGGUAUAGGGGCGAAAGACUAAUCGAACCAUCUGGUAGCUGGUUCCUGC
rnacentral:misc_RNA from 1 species